GGAGGGAUCAUUACAAGUGACCCCCGGCUCCGGCCGGGGAUGUUCAUAACCCUUUGUUGUCCGACUCUGUUGCCUCCGGGGCGACCCUGCCUUUUCACGGGCGGGGGCCCCGGGUGGACACAUCAAAACUCUUGCGUAACUUUGCAGUCUGAGUAAAUUUAAUUAAUAAAUUAAAACUUUUAACAACGGAUCUCUUGGUUCUGGCAUCGAUGAAGAACGCAGCGAAAUGCGAUAAGUAAUGUGAAUUGCAGAAUUCAGUGAAUCAUCGAAUCUUUGAACGCACAUUGCGCCCCCUGGUAUUCCGGGGGGCAUGCCUGUUCGAGCGUCAUUUCACCACUCAAGCCUCGCUUGGUAUUGGGCGACGCGGUCCGCCGCGCGCCUCAAAUCGACCGGCUGGGUCUUCUGUCCCCUCAGCGUUGUGGAAACUAUUCGCUAAAGGGUGCCACGGGAGGCCACGCCGAAAAACAAACCCAUUUCUAAGGUUGACCUCGGAUCAGGUAGGGAUACCCGCUGAACUUAAGCAUAUCAAUAAGCGGAGGAAAAGAAACCAACAGGGAUUGCUCUAGUAACGGCGAGUGAAGCAGCAAUAGCUCAAAUUUGAAAUCUGGCGUCUUCGGCGUCCGAGUUGUAAUUUGUAGAGGAUGCUUCUGGGCAGCCACCGACCUAAGUUCCUUGGAACAGGACGUCAUAGAGGGUGAGAAUCCCGUAUGCGGUCGGAAAGGCACCCUACACGUAGCUCCUUCGACGAGUCGAGUUGUUUGGGAAUGCAGCUCUAAAUGGGAGGUAAAUUUCUUCUAAAGCUAAAUAUUGGCCAGAGACCGAUAGCGCACAAGUAGAGUGAUCGAAAGAUGAAAAGCACUUUGGAAAGAGAGUUAAAAAGCACGUGAAAUUGUUGAAAGGGAAGGGAUUGCAACCAGACUUGCUCGCGGUGUUCCGCCGGUCUUCUGACCGGUUCACUCGCCGCGUUGCAGGCCAGCAUCGUCUGGUGCCGCUGGAUAAGACUGGAGGAAUGUAGCUCCCUCGGGAGUGUUAUAGCCUCUAGUGAUGCAGCGAGCGCCGGGCGAGGUCCGCGCUUCGGCUAGGAUGCUGGCGUAAUGGUCGUAAUCCGCCCGUCUUGAAACACGGACCAAGGAGUCUAACAUCUAUGCGAGUGUUCGGGUGUCAAACCCCUACGCGUAAUGAAAGUGAACGGAGGUGAGAACCGCAAGGUGCAUCAUCGACCGAUCCUGAUGUCUUCGGAUGGAUUUGAGUAUGAGCAUAGCUGUUGGGACCCGAAAGAUGGUGAACUAUGCCUGAAUAGGGUGAAGCCAGAGGAAACUCUGGUGGAGGCUCGCAGCGGUUCUGACGUGCAAAUCGAUCGUCAAAUUUGGGUAUAGGGGCGAAAGACUAAUCGAACCAUCUAGUAGCUGGUUCCUGC
rnacentral:misc_RNA from 1 species